AAUUUUGGACAAUGGGGGAAACCCUGAUCCAGCCAUCCCGCGUGUGCGAUGAAGGNCUNNGGGUUNUNAAGCACUUUUGGCAGNNNNNAAACGGCGCCGGAUAAUACCUGGCGCAACUGACGGUACCUGCAGAAUAAGCACCGGCUAACUACGUGCCAGCAGCCGCGGUAAUACGUAGGUUGCAAGCGUUAAUCGGAAUUACUGGGCGUAAAGCGUGCGCAGGCGGUUCGGAAAGAAAGAUGUGAAAUCCCAGAGCUUAACUUUGGAACUGCAUUUUUAACUGCCGAGCUAGAGUAUGUCAGAGGGGGGUAGAAUUCAACGUGUAGCAGUGAAAUGCGUAGAGAUGUGGAGGAAUACCGAUGGCGAAGGCAGCCCCCUGGGAUAAUACUGACGCUCAUGCACGAAAGCGUGGGGAGCAAACA
rnacentral:rRNA from 1 species